rnacentral:lncRNA from 10 species
AUUCGAUUCCAUUCUAUUGGGUUGCAUUACAUUCGUGUUCAUUCCAUUCCAGACCAUUCCAUUUGACUCCAUUCCUUUCGAGCCCUUUCAAUUUGAGUCCAUUCCUUUCCAGUCCAUUUCACUCCAGUCUAUUACUAUCCAUUCCAUACCAUUCCAUCCCAUUCCAUUCCAUUCCAUUCCAUUGCAUUCCAUUCCAUUCCAUUCCAUUGCACUGCACUCCAUUCCAUUACAUUCUACUCUAUCUGAGUCGAUUUUAUUGCAUUAGAUUCUAUUCCAUUGGAUUACUUUCCAUUCGAUUACAUUCCAUUCAUGUACAUUCCAUUCCAGUCAAUUACAUUCGAGUUCAUUACGUUACAUUCCAGUAUAUUCCAUUGUAUUCGAUCCCAUUCCUUUCAAUUCCAUUUCAUUCGACUCCAUUAUAUUCAAUUCCAUUCCACUCGAAUCCAUUCCAUUAGAGGACAUUCCAUUCCAAUGCAUUCCAUUCCAUUCCAUAGCAUUCCAUUGCAUUCGAUUCCAUUCCAUUUGAUGCCAUUCCAUUUGAUGCCAUCCCAUGACAUUCCAUUCCAUUCGAGUCCAUUCCGUUCCAAUUCAUUCCAUUCCGUUUCAUGAAAUUCGAGUCCUUUCCAGUACAUUUCAUUCCAAUCCCAUCCAAUCCCAUCUACUCCAUUCAAUUCCUUUCCAUUCCAUUUGAUUUGAUUCCAUUGAUUUGAUUCCAUUCAGUUUGAUUCCAUUCCGUGAAAUUUCGUUCCAUUCUAUUCCAUUGCAUUACUUUCCAU